UUCAGAGUAUCUUGGAUUAGAGAGACUGACAUGCUUCUUUUAAAAGAAUUGGAAACUCAUCCUCUCAACCUCCCAGGACCCUGUCUGAAAGCUUAGGAUGACAGGCACUGUGAAUGGACCAGGGGAAUACAAACCACUUCAGUGGGCCUAGGUUCAAGCCAUGUCUUUUUGCUUGCUUUGUACAGGAGCCUCUGCUCAUUGUUGCCAAAAAAGAAAACUCAAAAUCACCCAUACCCCCUGAUGUGCACCACGGUGACAACAACUGGAAACUACAAUACUGAACUGUCAAAAGGUGGCACCAUAGGAAGCAAACACAGCCUUCUCACUGGCCUGUCAGUUAUAUGCCUUUAAACUGCAGCUUAGACCAUACUGCUUAUAUUUGAAAGUAGUAGAAGAAACAUGAAUUGUGAUCCUAAACUGGAAGCAGGCAUAAAUCAACUCAUUGCACAGCAGGAGUAGAGAAACAGAGGACCUGGCCUGCAGUGUUGGUAUUGUCAUAUGUUAUUAGGAAAUCUUAAGAGAGAAACAAAUACUAUCAGAGGCAGAGCAUUUUCUGGCAUCACCCAGUGUGCAUAGUGACUUCAGUUUAAGAAAAAAAAAACCAAACAAAAAACAGGUCUAUGCACACUCUUCCUUCCACAUUUCUAUCUCUUAUUUAGGACAGAUGCUCCAACAUCUUUUUUUUUUUUCUUUCCUCUGUGAUCCAGUGCUUGAAUUGUUGCUGUUUGUAAUUUGGGUGCCUGUCCUGGAAGGCUAACAGGCCUAUAAGAUGUCCUGGUUUGCCCCACCCUUCUGCUGAUGGAGGAAGCAAGGGCAGGAGGAAAACAAAGGCUUAGGCCAUUAUGUCUCCUCCCAAAGUGAUAAACAGGUACCCACAGGUGUUUAGGUACUUGUUGGUGUCUUGCCCAAAUAAGGGUGAGCAAGCCCUGGUUUCACCUAAUAUGGUCAGUUUUGGAAAGGCCAUUUUGAUUGGUGAAUCUCUGUGGCCAAAGGAGCCACUGCACUCAGGCAAGUAAUAUAAAUUGAGCUAAGUUGCAAGCAGCUGAGCUGCUUUUGCCUUACUGCUUUUGCCUUACUGCUUUUGCCAACGUGUCCUGCUCUGCCUCGUGCUUCAGGUCAGUUUAGCCACGAUAUAUUGGGUUUGAAAUACCUGGAAACUUAAGUGCCUCAAGUUUCCCAGGAGAAAGCAUUUAAGUGCCUCGUGAUGUGGCAGGAAGUGCCACUGACAUUGUGCUCUCUGUAUGUCUGCAAGAAAUCCUGCCUGCACCUCUGCAAACCUCUGUGCCAAGAGGAACCAGGAUCACAUCAGAGAAUGUCUGCCUCUUUCCCAGCACCGUGGGAAGAUCAGGAAGCCUCUCAAGGGUCAAGCAGUUCCAACACUGCUACAAAGGAGCCAGGGACCAUCUUGAAAUUUCUACUCCACCGCAACUGAAAGGAAUGAACUGGACCCACUUCAGAGCACCACCACCACGGCAGUCAUGCUGGUGUCUGCUUUUCAGAGUUUCCUUCAAGCACCAGGAGAGGAGGAUGCUACUGGCAGAAACUUAGCCACAUCUACUCCUCCCUUUUUUCAGACAAUCACAGGGGAACAUGCUGUGCUGUGACUCUCUUCACCAUGUGAAAAAGCUCUUGAAAUACCCUGGAGACUCCCACUGUUUAGCUGUGAGUAAGAGUUAGCACAGGCCCUUUGCAGUGGUUGGAAGCUGUACUUUCCAAAGCUGAUAAAAUGAGCACUUCACAGCAAUAAGAGUACCUUUAGGAGAGGAUUGCUAGGUCUAGGGGAAGUUUUCUACUGCUUCAGUCUUCAGUAAAAUAUAGGAUAACUUUAUAAAAGUCGUGUUUUGGUCAUUGAAUUCAGUCUCCAUAAUAAAGGUGACCAAAUAUAUUCAGUAUAAUUUAGUGAAAAUAUCUUGACUUAUUUUGGUUGUAAUGGUGUAUCAUCACUGACAGGUGAUGUUCUAUACCUGGUGUGGAGCCUAGUGGUCUCUUCUGGCUUUAAAGUGCAGGGGAGAGGGGCCAACAAAACUGUCCCCUUGGCUGGAAGAAUGCAUAGCAGCUCUUCACUGUGCAUUCUUCCUCAGUACUUAAUGAGCAUAACAACAUUUCAGAUGGAAGGUCUUUUUCCACAAACAUUUUUCUAUGUGCUCAGUUCCACAUCAGUUCCAGAUGUCCCACUGAUCUAAAUGGAAGUGUCCCUGUAUCUUUAAUCGCACUCAUCAAGCUGCUGGACUCUCCUGCUGGGUAAAAGGUUAAACUGAGAAAUCAUCUCUGUGAUGAGCCACAUCCCGCUGCAUUGCUCUCAGCAUAUGGAUCAAUGCAGACACAACCCUAUCUUAGUUUCUUCUGGAUUGAAUUAUGUGUCAUUUGCUUCAGUACUUAAUGCACAAAAUGUUGCUGUGCCAUUUCUCUUUACAGCAGUUAUUGUUUCAAAGGCCCAAAGAAUAUUUGUUACCAGAAAGAACCCACUAGACAAAGCUUUUAUUUAAUUGUAGUAUAAGAUGUGGAACUAAGAUAGGAAAUCUUUUCCAAAACUAAAAUAACAUUUUAAUUAUUUUUAUUUAUCAUUUGCAUUUCUUUUUGAUUUGUACUUUUUUGGUUACAAUGUCUUCUGUUAAGUACAAAUUAAAAUAAA